UGGUAAGAGGCUAGAAAACACUUAUUGA
rnacentral:piRNA from 1 species